CCACCAACUACUGCAGCUCCUACUACAGUUCCACCACCAGUUGUGGUUCUCCAAUCAGUCUUGGAAGUGACAUUCCAAGAUGAACUUACUGAUUCAAGCAGCUCACAAUUUAGGGAUCUUGAGGCACAAGUUGUAGCAGUGUAUGAUGUCAUCUACAGGACCCAAUUUGGCGCGCUUUUCAUCCGCAGUUUUGUCAUAGCAUUUAGGCCAGCUGCAGCCAGAGAAAGAGCUGUUAAUACUGAGGCAGAGGUGGGGGUCCAGUUCAGUGAAACAGCUUCAUCUGAAGAAAUUCCAACAAGUGAAACUGUUGCAAACACUUUAGUAGAAGCUGUCACUAACCCCAGUAAUAACUUCAGCCUCACCAUUGAUCCCACCUCGGUCCAAGUAGUUG